rnacentral:rRNA from 1 species
GACGAACCACACAAACGUUAUUCGGAAUUACUGGGCUUAAAGGGUGCGUAGGCUGUGCGGAAAGUUGGGUGUGAAAUCCCCCGGCUCAACCGGGGAAUUGCGCCCAAAACUACCGUGCUUGAGGAAGACAGAGGUGAGCGGAACUUCGGGUGGAGCGGUGAAAUGCGUUGAUAUCCGAAGGAACACCGGUGGCGAAAGCGGCUCACUGGGUCUUUUCUGACGCUGAUGCACGAAAGCUAGGGGAGCAAACGGGA